AAGCCUCCAAGGUAUAUUCCCAGCAGACGCAUUAUCAGAUUAAGAAACUGCAAACAAAGUGCGCUAGAGAGAGCGCCCAUUCUUUGUGCCGGCCCGGCCUCUUCUUCCUGUGAUGUCACAGAACAAAUCGGGCGAGCUUUUCCCUCUGCCUUCGGAGGCGGCCCCCGCGCACAAUCCAGCGGGAGCUGGAGGAGCGAGGAGGCCCCCGCUCCGGCAAGAGCAAACACGCCCUGGAAUUUGAUCGCUGGACUUGCGAGGGGGUUUUCCUUACCGCCUUCUCGGAGCGGCGAGCGGGGAAGGGGGGCGAUGCGAGCCCCUAGGUGAACGCCGGGGAGGAAGAAGCAAGGGAAGGGGGCCGUCCUGCCGCCUCUUCCCCUCCGUCCGGGAUUUCGGCGACGCUCCGAAGUCCCCGAGGCUUCGGGGGAUCCCGGGAUCCUCCCGCCCAUCCGCGGCCGCUUCCCGGGGAUCCCCUUCGACCGGAGUUCUUGGAGGGAUGGCCUGGCCGGCCGCGUUGAGGAGGCCCUCUCGGGCUGGCGGGCGACUGAAGAAAGGAUCCUCGGAGUCGGCGAUGCUGCCCUGGUGUGCAACACGAGUAUGAUAAAGAGGUCAACAUUUUUUGAGCCUACACAUCGAAGUGCAUAGCUGUCUUAAUGGGAAGAUGACACCACAAAGUGAGAAUUCUAUUCCUAAACAUCAUUACCUGCUGAGAAGGCUGGAAGGAGGAGGCAUAAUACCGUUCGAGUCAGCACCUACCUCGCCUUCCUACCAAGGAAACCAACAUUACCAAGAAGACCCUUUGCCUCUGAAGAGUAAAGUUUGAGUGUUGGUAGACUGAGUUUCAGGACCUCAGUAUUUGUGAUACUCCUUAGUCAGCUGAUGCUAAAUGUGGACUGCAGCCGUCCCUCCUUGAAAGGCAGAAUGAUUGCUAUGGAAGUCACUCGGCCCCCAAACCAUUCUGCACCUUGACACACUGGUAACAAAGCUUGAUGCUGUGUUGUUGCACACUGUCGGUACUACAAAGGGCAGACUAACCAUUUGUAUUUAGCUUUUUCUCUUUGUCUACUCAUA